UACGGAGGGUGCAAGCGUUAAUCGGAAUUACUGGGCGUAAAGCGUGCGCAGGCGGUUUGUUAAGUCCGUUGUGAAAGCCCCGAGCUCAACUUGGGAAUUGCAGUGGAUACUGGCAGGCUGGAGUACGGUAGAGGAAGGUGGAAUUCCCGGUGUAGCAGUGAAAUGCGUAGAUAUCGGGAGGAACACCAGUGGCGAAGGCGGCCUUCUGGACCGUACUGACGCUCAGUGCACGAAAGCGUGGGGAGCAAACAGG
rnacentral:rRNA from 1 species